CGCCCAGGCCCGAGUGCCGCCGCCACUACCAGCGCCCGACCCCGAGCUCCUUCUCCCGUGCGCCUCCUCCCUGGCCUCCCUCGCGCGUCGUCCGGCGACCGGCGCUGCCGCCGCCGCCGACCACCCAGGUCACGCCGCCGCUCCCAUGCCUUCUCUCUCUCUAAUCUCCUUGUCUCUCCUCUCCAGGAGCUCAGCGCCAGCGCUAGCGCCAUGGAUGUCCCGUCCUCGAGCUCUCCUCGGAGGUUCGAACGCCGCCACGGGACCUCCACCAGCCAGAUCCGACGCCUACCUCCCGGAUCCGCGCUCCCUCCACCUCCUCUACCCGAUCCGGCGCCGCCGAACCCGCCAUGACCUCCACCAUGGAGUUCCUGUAGCUCGUCCCCUGCCUCCUCGUCCUGUGCUCGAGGGAGACGCCCCUCCAGCGCAUCGAGGACAAGGCCCACCACCAGCCGGUCGUCGUUGCACUCGCCGGCGACCUCACCGUCCCCUCUGCACUGCCCUCCACCUCAACUGAUGCUUCUCAUCAACAGGGAUAGAUUUAGCUGGUCAUAGCUUGUGGAUGUUCUCUGUUAUUUUUUGCACACAAGGUGUUUGUGUGCUUGUCCAAGCCAAUGUUCAUGAGCUUUAUCUUUGCUAUAAAUGACAUGGCUGAGAAGGUCCCUUCAAUGAAAGAAGGAGGAGUAUAGUCUUGGCCAUGGCUGGGAAGGAAGGAGAACAUGCCUUCAUGCUGGGCCGAGGAGGAGCGCGCCGUCGAGAUCGUUGAUGACAGCGACAUGGGCGAGGCCGGGGAGGAGGUCAUGGUUGAUGCUUUACUGCCUGAACAUGUUGACCGGGAACAAGAGGGUAAGGUGGAUGUGAGGGCGGAGGCGCAUGCCAUGGUGCAGGAUGUUGUGGAAGCCCGAUUAUUUGAGGAAGUGACAGCCACUGGGAGCAUGGAUCGACAGACUAGACAGACCAAGUCCAUUGAUCGGUUGAUUCAACAACGAAGGAAGAGGCAGAAGGUUAUAAAAACGAGCUUGGGGAUUUACUGACCUGAAUCUUAAACAGGGCCGCCCAGCUGAUGGACUCAAGCUCCAGGUUUGCUCCUAGCACGUCUUAAUUACAUUGGCUCUUGAUAAAAUGUCUAGCAUGAUGGAUAAUGAGUUCAUUCUGUGAUGCCACAUAGAUAUGCAAAGUCAUAGUCCUGCAUGUAUGCACAUCUACUGAUACAUACAAACCGAUCGACGGGCACACACAUUAGUAAGUUCUGCUACUAGCCUAAUCAAGAGCCUUUUAUACAACCCCGCAAAAAAGCCUUUUAUACAGCCUUGCAGAUAAAAAUGAAUUGAAUUAUGAGCAUCUGACAACUACGAUCAAUUUCCUGGUUAUACUUCCUGAAAUAAAGGUGGCCGACCAAAUGAAAGGAUGGAUGCUUUCCUUUAUGUGAGAUUAUAUAAAUUAUCUUACUUGAUCUGCAAUGUUUCUUUGGAAAUUUUUUAUGAAAGACACAUGACACAUAGUUUGCUGGAUAGGUCUAAGAUAAAUAUUUCAGUUAUAGGAGGAUAUUUUUAAAUGGGUAAUACUAUUACCGCCAUCUGCUUGGCCUGUUGUGCUUUGGGUAGAGCUUUCAUAUUUCAACACAAAAAAAAAACAAUAAUGCAAGUUGGGACCAGAAUAGCACACACAUCCUCAAAGGAAACAUCAGUUGGGAGUGCUCAAGUAUUCAGUUUCUUGGAUGAUGUAUUAUGUUCUCGCUUAUCAUGUACUCCCUCUGUAAACAAAUAUAAGACCUUUUAGAUAACUAAAGUAGUGAUCUAACAGGUCCUAUAUUUGUUACAGAGGGAGUAUGUUUCUAGAUAUCCGUCAACUCCAAUGUUUCAUUUAUCUACUCUCUGAAUAUGAAGAAGAUAGGCUUGCAAAGUAGCUUUUUACGUGAAUAAUGUGACAAACAUUUAUAUCUUAUAACUGCAAACAAUUUUUUUGUUUAGUCCGUCACCGAGCAAAUGUUUGGGAGUUGGAAAUUAUUUGGAUACACAUGAUCUCAGAAAAGAAAGAUUCACACAUACUACAACCAAAGGACCUCCUUCACUCUCUGUGCAACUACAGAAAUUAUCCUUAUGAGCAGCACCCUAGAUUUAGUUGUGGGUUCUAACAUAUUAGAGAUGUGGUUAGAAUACCUACUGCUCUGAACAAUUAAGUGGUUUGUAUAAACCACCGAUUCCCUCGUGCAGUACACACUUAAUUGUUUCUGAACUAUAUUACUUUUUAUGUUCAUUCUUCUGUCCUUUUAAAUCUCUAAUUUAGUUGCAAGUAUUUUAUUUGUUAUUGUUUGGCUUCUUAAGAAAAAAUCUAGCAAGCAACGACUCGACUGAUGAAAGAGAUGUUGACCAUCUUUGCUGCAGUGAGGUACCUUCUUGAUCAUGUUACUAAUCUGUAUCUACAUUAUUCAGAUGUGAAACUCAUCCUUCUUAAAACAUCUGCAACACAUAUGUGCACUCUGAAAUGUUAAAAUAUUUGCAUUCUAUAGCACUUCAAGUUUGUGUAGCAUCCCCAUAUUUCCCGCGGCCCAGUUCCUUGAACUGGCUAACCCUUAUUGAUGUCAUAUGUCCUGAACUGACUCUCAUGACCAAGUUCCUCAACACGUCUGCCCCUCACAGGCAUGUUGUGCAGUGGCUCCAUUCAUCGCAUUGUGAUUGAACACAUUAGGAUUAGGUGAACACUGAAAACAUCGGUGAGGGUGGUCAUGAAGAAAAGCUAAAACCACCAGACGAAGGGGCGCUGGUCUCUGGUUCUUGGCGAAGGCCACCGCAGCUCAUCUCCAAGACCUCUGAUGUCGUGUGUCCCCCAAGUUAUUCACCGAAUCUCCUCGCCCGCUGGCUGCUGCUCUUCUUCUCCCUCGAACACAUCUCUGCUUCUGAUCCUUUGCUGCCGCCCCUAACCUGCUGCUUCUGCUCUCUGAUGCUGCCCCCUGUACCUCUCCUUCUCCAACGAACUGUUGUUCCUAAUCUUCUCUGAACCCAAACUGUUGCUGCUCCGCUUCCUCUCUGAACCUCAGUCUGCUGCUGCUUCUCUGAUUCAGAGUAAACCAAUAAACAGGAAUUGUAUGGACUUCUAGGUCGUGUUUCCUUUGGUAACAGUUAUUGUUAGUUCUAAACAAUUUUUCAGUGCCACGAUUAGGCUUCCAAGGGUUUAGAGAAUGAUGAAGAAGCCUUUUAUAUCACACACUAUAUAACAUCAUGGAAUCACAACCUUAUAACAAAUAAUUUAAGAGGCUAUGUUCUGGUUUGCUGUAUCUCCACCAGUUUGGGUUGGUCUGAUGGCUAACCUAAACUGAAUAGGGAAUCAGGAGUACUUUAGUUGGUAUUGGAAGUGGUAUGUUUACUUUCAAGCUGAAAAUCUUGCAAGUUUGGUCCUGGGAUAUUUAAUGCUCCCUUUUCUUAAUAUCUUCCAAUCAUACUAUACAUAUUUAGUUUUUUUUACUUUCUCUUGACAAGUGAACUGAAUUAUUCAUGGAGAAUCUGGUUAUGGUAGAUUUUAUUAUGGAGAUUCAUCCGAUGUAAUAGAAUAGCUUUACUUGCUAAAAUCAAUACAUAACUAUAGUGUUGUAUGGUUACAACAUGUAGAGUUUUGCAAGUGAGAGUUACAGGAAGUCACUAUUGCAAGAUGGCAUUCAGUUAACACACGUACAAUCAACUGAUCACCGUAUCUUUUUUUCUGCUAAUUUAAUUUGAAAAAGCUAUUGCAAACAAUUUUUUCUUCUGAAAUUAUAUACUCUGUUUAUUUCUAAUGUGAUUUUGUUACUGUUUGUAUGGUAUUUCUCUGUCUAAAUUUUUUGUUACAUAAAUCAAUCCGCAUAUAUGUGUGCAGGCUGUGAAUCGACAAACAGCCCAGAAAAUAUGGCAUGCUACAUAUCCUGUGACAGUACAUUAUCAGAAAUACUUAUAUUUUUAUAAACGCAUCUCUCAUCCAUCAUGACAUAGAUGUCAUGCGUUGCAAGUGUUCUUUUUCGUUGUCUCGCGAUGCAUUGAGUACAUGAUGGAUGAUCGUUCAGUGUGUCAUGUGUACUCAGUCACUUGUGUCAUCUUCAGAUUUUAGAAGUCAAAAUUCUAGCUUUAGCUCUAUAUUUAAGAAUUUUUCUACGGCAAAUGCAAGAAAAAUAAAGUGUCCUUCUGUUCUCAUUCUGAGGAAGUUCUGAAAAAUUGAGGCAUUUGUAUGAAUUUCUAUUCUUCAUUAUAAAUUAUCCUUUUAAGUUUAGAAAAUAAAACAUGAUAUACUCUGUAUGUCUCUGUUCUACACUACCACUACCAUUUUAUUGCUGCAAAACGCCAAUGAAAAAGUCAUUACUAUUUUCCAUGUUUUUAUACAAUCAAGCUGAAAGAGCAAUAAAAUGAUCUGUUUUCACAUCUCCUCAGAUCUUACCGAAAGGCAAUGUGCUUAUAAUGUACAUCUAGAUAACAAUAAUGUGUUUGGGAAUGAUUCAUUUGUCGAUGGUCAGCAUGUGGGGUGUGAGGGACGAUACUUAUAUCACUUAGUGGCCAAGGGAAUGACAUCACAAAAGUUUAUCUAACAUCCUAGGAGAAGAUGGAGACAUGUUCCUAUAUUGCUUCUCUACAAUUACUUUCACCAUUUGAUCAUCCAUGUAAUUUAUAGCAUCCAUGCAUAGCUUAUCCUUAGGUUGUUUGUAUCCACUUAUUCCUUUUGUUGACAUGGCUAGGAGGCUAAUAUGAAUGUCACAUAGAUUGUAAUUUAACCUCCUUACAAAUAAUUAACGUUCAAACAUUCCAGUGGAGGAAUCUCAAGAGUUAGGAAUGGUACCCCGACAAUUGUGAGCGGCACAAAGGAAGGGUCGCCAUCACCAAGGAAGUACGCUGACAAUUGUGGACUCCAAAGAGGAACAAGCUCUAUAUUUAGUGCGUUGAGUUGCUAUUUUAAAUUCUGAGAGGUGUUGAAUUUCGUCGAUUUCUAAGAUAUUGACUCGGAAGAAUUAUUAUUUUGCUUGAUGUAAACUCAGAUUAAUUUGUCAUGUCAUUUGAACCGAA